rnacentral:rRNA from 1 species
AACAAGGAAUCCCCUAGUAACGGCGAGUGAACCGGGAAAAGCUCAAAUUUGAAAUCAGGCGUCCUCAGGGCGUUCGAGUUGUAAUCUAUAGAGGCGUUUUCCGUGCCGGACCGUGUCCAAGUUCCUUGGAACAGGGUAUCAAAGAGGGUGACAAUCCAGUACUUGCCACGACUACCGGUGCUCUGUGAUACGUCUUCCCGACUCGAGUUGUUUGGAAAUGCAUCUCAUAAUGGGUGGUGAGUUCCCUCUAAAUCUAAAUAUUGGAGAGAGACCGAUAGCAAACAAGUACCGUGAGGGAAAGAUGAAAAGCUCUUUGAAAAGAGAGUUAAACACUACGUGAAAUUGUUGAAAGGAAAACUAUUGACGUCCUUCGUGACCGAGAGGCUCCGCCGGCUCUGCCGGUGUAUUCCCCUCGGUCGGGACAACAUCAGUUUUGUCCGGUGGAUUUCGGCUGUAGGAAGGUGGCCCCCACGGGUGUGUUAUAGCCUGCCGUCACAUACACUGGGUGAGACUGAGGAAUGCAGCUCGCCUUUAUGGCCGGUGUUCGCCCACGUCCGAGCUUAGGAUGUUGACAUAAUGGCUUUACACGACCCGUCUUGAAACACGGAC